rnacentral:rRNA from 1 species
GGUUCGAUUAUGAAAGCAGUUGAACGCUGGCGGGAUGCUUUACACAAGUCGAACGGCAGCACGGACUUCGGUCUGGUGGCGAGUGGCGAACGGGUGAGUAAUGUAUCGGAACGUGCCUAGUAGCGGGGGAUAACUACGCCGGCGUAGCUAAUACCGCAUACACCGCUGGGGAAAGCGGGGGACCUUCGGGCCUCGCACUAUUGAAGCGGCCGAUAUCGGAUACAGCUGGUUGGUGGGGUAACGGCUCACCAAGGCGACGAUCCGUAGCUGGUUUGAGAGGACGACCAGCCACACUGGGACUGAGAUUUGGCCCAGACUCCCUACAGGAGGCAGCAGUGGGAAUUUUGGACAAUGGGGAAACCUGAUCCAGCCAUCCCGCGUGUGCGAUGAAGGCCUUCGGGUUGUAAAGCACUUUUGGCAGGAAAAGAAACGGCACGGGAUAAUACCCCGUGCAACUGACGGUACCUGCAGAAUAAGCACCGGCUAACUACGUGCCAGCAGCCAGUAUACGUAGGGUGCAAGCGUUAAUCGGAAUUACUGGGCGUAAAGCGUGCGCAGGCGGUUCGGAAAGAAAGAUGUGAAAUCCCCAGGACUUAACUUUACGGAACACAUUUUUACUACCGAGCUAAGAGUGUGUCAGAGAAAGUGGAAUUCCGCGUGUAGCAGUGAAAUGCGUAGAUAUGCGGAACACCGAUAGCGAAAACCAGCCUCCUGGGAUAACACUGACGCUCAUGCACGAAAGCGUGGGGAGCAAACAGGAUUAGAUACCCUGGUAGUCCACGCCCUAAACGAUGUCAACUAGCUGUUGGGGCCUUCGGGCCUUGGUAGCGCAACUAACGCGUGAAGUUGACCGCCUGGGAGAGUACGGUCGCAAGAUUAAAACUCAAAGGAAUUGACGGGGACACUGGCGGUGGAUGAUGUGGAUUAAUUCGAUGCAACGCGAAAAACCUUACCUACCCUUACGACAUGUCUGGAAUCCCGAAGAGAUUUGGGAGUGCUCAUAGAGAACCGGAACACAGGUGCUGCAUGGCUGUCAAUGGCUCGUGUCGUGAGAUGUUGGGUUAAGUCCCGCAACGAGCGCAGCCCUUGUCAUUGGUGCUACGAAAGGGCACUCUAAAAUGAGACACCGGUGACAAACCGGAGGAAGGUGGAUGACGUCAAGUCUCAUGGCCCUCAUGGGUAGGGCUUCACACGUCAUACAAUGGUCGGGACAGAGGGUCGCCAACCCGCGAGGGUAAUCCCGAAACCCGAUCGUAGUCCGGAUCGCAGUCUGCAACUCGACUGCGUGAAAUUCGGAAUCGCUAGUAAUCGCGGAUCAGCAUGUCGCGGUGAAUACGUUCCCGGGUCUUGUACACACCGCCCGUCACACCAUGGGAGUGGGUUUUACCAGAAGUAGUUAGCCUAACCGUAAGGAGAGGCGUUACCACGGUAGGAUUCUUCAGCUGGGGUGAAGUCGUAACAAGGUAG